rnacentral:lncRNA from 1 species
GUCCCACUAAGUUUUUACCCCUUAAGCAUUUAAAACCAUAAAUUUUAAAAGUUUUUUUUUUCUUAAAUUUUAUACCGAGUCAAACUAUUGAAACGGAGGGAAUAUAAAGUAUAGCAUAUUGAUAAAACAAAACCAAAUAGAGUACAUAAGAAGGUGAAAAAAUUGCAGCAAAAAGAAAAACAAAGAAGGUGAAAAAGUAAAUAUGAGAAAGGGAUUAAUGAAAGAUAACUUUAUACCAACUUCAUUUUCAUCAUGAGCACUGCAAAAGGUCUGUGAUGAGAGAAACAGAAAGGCAAACACAACCGGGACGAAACUUGGCUUGGCCAUGAUUUAAUUUACGGUUGCACUAGGUUUCUCAGCCACUACGUGGCGGCGGUUCCUGGUGGCAAUGGUGGUGCUGGAGGCCCUUUUUAAAUUUAAAAAAAAAAGUAAUUUCUGUAUUAAUAUACAAAAGGUGCCAGCUUUCC